AUCGCUUCUCGGCCUUUUGGCUAAGAUCAAGUGUAGUAUCUGUUCUUAUCAGUUUAAUAUCUGAUACGUCCUCUAUCCGAGGACAGUAUAUUAAAUGGAUUUUUGGAGCAGGGAGAUGGAAUAGGAGCUUGCUCCGUCCACUCCACGCAUNGUAUAAGUGAUCAACUUAUUUUUAAAUAAAGCAGUAGCC